rnacentral:rRNA from 1 species
AGAGUUUGAUCCUGGCUCAGACUGAACGCUGGCGGCAUGGCUAAAGCAUGCAAGUCGAACGAGCCCGCAAGGGCGAGUGGCGGACGGGUUAGUAAUACGAUCGAACGUACCCCGAAGUGGGGGAUAGCGGCGGGAAACUGCCGGUAAUACCCCAUGUGCUCUUCGGAGGAAAGAUUUAUCGCUUUGGGAUCGGCGAUCGUCCUAUCAGCUAGUUGGCGGGGUAAAGGCCCACCAAGGCGAAGACGGGUAGCAGGUGUGAGAGCACGACCUGCAACAUCGGAACUGAGAUACUGUCCGGACUCCUACGGGAGGCUGCAGCAACGAAUCUUCCGCAAUGGGCGCAAGCCUGACGGAGCAAUGCCGCGUGUGGGAUGAAGUGCCUCCGGCAUGUAAACCACUGUCAGAAGAUAGAAACACUGAUCAUCUUCAAAGGAAGUGGCGACUAACUCUGUGCCAGCAGUCGCGGUAAUACAGAGGCCACGAGCGUUAGUCGGAAUUACUGGGCUUAAAGGGUGCGUAGGCGGUUAUUCAAGCGUCCUGUGAAAGCCUCCCGCUCAACGGGAGAACAGCAGGGCGAACUGGGUGACUCGAGGUUGGUAGGGGCUCACAGAACAGUCGGUGGACCGGUGAAAUGGGUAGAGAUCGACUGGAAUGCCGAUGGCGAAGGCGGUGAGCUGGGCCAAAUCUGACGCUGAGGCACGAAAGCGUGGGGAGCAAACAGGAUUAGAUACCCCGGUAGUCC